AGAGUUUGAUCCUGGCUCAGGACGAACGCCGUCGGCGUGCUUAACACAUGCAAGUCGAACGAGAUCCAUGGUCUAUCAAUACACCGGAAGAUCUAGUGGCGAACGGGUGAGGAACACGUGAGAAACCUGCCCCAGACUUUGGGAUAACAACUGGAAACGCUUGCUAAUACCGAAUGACGUCGGAGAACCGCAUGGUUCACUGACGAAAGGAAUUCCGGUUUGGGAGGGUCUCGCGGCCUAUCAGCUUGUUGGUGGGGUAAUGGCCUACCAAGGCAACGACGGGUAGCUGGUCUGAGAGGAUGAUCAGCCACACUGGGACUGAGACACGGCCCAGACUCCUACGGGAGGCAGCAGUGGGGAAUCUUGCGCAAUGGGCGAAAGCCUGACGCAGCAACGCCGCGUGCGGGAUGAAGGCCUUCGGGCUGUAAACCGCUUUCAGCAGGAACGAAAAUGACGGUACCUGCAGAAGAAGGAGCGGCCAACUACGUGCCAGCAGCCGCGGUGACACGUAGGCUCCAAGCGUUGUCCGGAUUUAUUGGGCGUAAGGAGCUCGUAGGCGGUUGAGUAAGUCGGGUGUGAAAACUCUGGGCUUAACCCGGAGACGCCAUCCGAUACUGCUCUGACUUGAGUUCAGGAGGGGAGUGGGGAAUUCCUAGUGUAGCGGUGAAAUGCGCAGAUAUUAGGAGGAACGCCGGUGGCGAAGGCGCCACUCUGGACUGAAACUGACGCUGAGGAGCGAAAGCAUGGGUAGCAAACAGGAUUAGAUACCCUGGUAGUCCAUGCCGUAAACGGUGGGCACU
rnacentral:rRNA from 1 species